CUCGGCGGAACACCAGGAGCGCGUUAACCCGCAUCACAGCGGCGGCGGCAGGUUUAUCCGGCUGCGUCAGAUUCCGCAGGACCGCUGCCCGGAGUCCCGCGGCCGAGGAGAGCUGAUCCGGAUCGGUGUGGCGGGUCGGAGCGCUGUGAUGUAGAAGCUGUCACAGAGUUGUGGAGCGCGGCAGCGGCGGUGGCAGCAGCAGUGGCGGGUGGCAGCGCCAGAGUGCUGGGCUGUCUCACACUCUCUCAGCCGAGGAGCUGCACAUCACGCCGGAGCCAUGGAGAAGUGUUGUUCUGAGUGUCCCGAGCCCAGAGUGGCCCAGAGUUUGUGCACCUUUUGCAACAAGUGGUUGUGUUUCCAGUGCACGGAUUUGCACCAGCACGACAGAGCUCCGCCCCAGGCCCCGGAGCCCCGCCUCCUCCAGAGGGCCAGCCCCCCACCGGCGCCGCCUGAAACAGGCAAGAUGCUCUUUUGGUUUUUCCCGUUAUAAUCCGUUUCUCCCGGCGUCUCUCGGCCUGACGCUCGGCGGCUGUAAUCUGCGGGAGCCUCUAUCUGUCCGCCGCCAUAUUUCCCUUUUCUCUCUGUUUUUAACGUCUUUAUUCUCCUCCGCGCAGCUCAGCGUGAAGAAUAAUGCCUUCCAGAAUAAGUGUGAAUAAUUAUGCUCUGUGAUGCAUUGUCGUCUUUUAUUUUUUAUGUGACCCAGUUUUCUGAAAGCAGUAGUCGCUCAGCGGGAGCGGCGAGACGUCAGUCCGAGUCCAGAGUCCAGCCGGUCCGAGUUUCAGUCAUUUUCAUUUUUCAGUCUUUUAAACGGACUGAUACCAGUUCAAACCCACGACAGGGGAACACGGCUUAGUGUCGUAUUAUAAAUCUGCAGUGUAGAUUAAUACUAAACUCAUCCAAACUAUAAAGAAAAACAUAUAAGGGCUUAUUUUAGUAAUCUGUAGACGAGCCGUCAACCGUCUGUGCAUCGUGCAGCUUGAUUUAAGGUGUAUCAGUGUGUCUUUGCUAUCGUAACCACGAGAAAAGUACAAAAAAGAAAUGUACAAAUUCUUUUAACUAAUCAUAUGUUUGGUUAAUUUUGGAAUCGUAACAUGAAAUAAACCAUUUAAAGAGUCUCAUUCCCUUUAAGAGUAGAAACUGGUGAGCUCUGACUUUGGUGGAUUGCUAUUGUAACGGUGCAGCUACCUGGACGUGUUCAACAAACUCUUCUCAGCAGAGGAAACUGAGCUGCUGGUUGACGCUGUGAAGGAGCUCCAGCAGCUCAUUUACGGGAACAGCAAUGUUAUUUUAUUUACUAUUCUGUUUAUUGUUGAUGUAAAAGUUGGGUUUGUGCUGCUGUGUGUUCAUGUGUGUGUAAUAAGUGGGGGUGUACGCUCGGCUCGGCACAGUGCCUGUGUUACAGAGAUAGCGAUGAACGUCUGACUGUUGGCGUCUGUCUAGGUUGUAUUCAGUCAGUGGAGCUCCUGUGUUUUCUGUUACCAAGAUAAACAAGCAAAACUCCAGAAAUGUACCUGAACACACCUCAUUUCCAGAACACCACGCCCAUCAGUGUAGAUAUACAGAGCUGAAAAAAAUUAAGAGAACGCUUCAGUUUCUGAAUCAGUUUGUCUGAUUUUGCUAUUUAUAGGUUUAUGUUUGAGUAAAAUGAACAUUGUUGUUUUAUUCUAUAAACUACAGACAACAUUUCUCCCAAAUUACAAAUAAAAAUAUUCUCAUUUAGAGCAUUUAUUUACAGAAAAUGAGAAAUGGCUGAAAUAACAAAAAAAGAUGCAGAACUUUCAGACCUCAAAUAAUGCAAAGAAAACAAGUUCAUAUUCAUAAAGUUUUAAGAGUUCAGAAAUAAUCAAUAUUUGGUGGG